rnacentral:ncRNA from 1 species
GGAGCCCUGCUUGUCCGAAGCCUGACGUUAUGCGUCAGAGAUUCAUGUAGGACAAGUGGGGCUUC